UGGGGAAUAUUGGACAAUGGGCGCAAGCCUGAUCCAGCCAUGCCGCGUGAGUGAUGAAGGCCCUAGGGUUGUAAAGCUCUUUCACCGGUGAAGAUAAUGACGGUAACCGGAGAAGAAGCCCCGGCUAACUUCGUGCCAGCAGCCGCGGUAAUACGAAGGGGGCUAGCGUUGUUCGGAUUUACUGGGCGUAAAGCGCACGUAGGCGGACUUUUAAGUCAGGGGUGAAAUCCCGGGGCUCAACCCCGGAACUGCCUUUGAUACUGGAAGUCUUGAGUAUGGUAGAGGUGAGUGGAAUUCCGAGUGUAGAGGUGAAAUUCGUAGAUAUUCGGAGGAACACCAGUGGCGAAGGCGGCUCACUGGACCAUUACUGACGCUGAGGUGCGAAAGCCUGGGGAGCAAACAGGUUAGAUACCCUGGUAGUCCACGCCGUAAACGAUGAAUGUUAGCCGUUGGGGAGUUUAACUCUUCGGUGGCGCAGCUAACGCAUUAAACAUUCCGCCUGGGGAGUACGGUCGCAAGAUUAAAACUCAAAGGAAUUGAACGGGGUCAUA
rnacentral:rRNA from 1 species